rnacentral:rRNA from 1 species
CCUACGGGUGGCAGCAGUGGGGAAUAUUGCACAAUGGGGGAAACCCUGAUGCAGCGACGCCGCGUGAAGGAAGAAGUAUUUCGGUAUGUAAACUUCUAUCAGCAGGGAAGAAAAUGACGGUACCUGACUAAGAAGCCCCGGCUAACUACGUGCCAGCAGCCGCGGUAAUACGUAGGGGGCAAGCGUUAUCCGGAUUUACUGGGUGUAAAGGGAGCGUAGGCGGUGCAGCAAGUCAGAAGUGAAAGCCCGGGGCUUAACUCCGGGACUGCUUUUGAAACUGCGUGGCUGGAGUGCAGGAGGGGCAGGCGGAAUUCCUGGUGUAGCGGUGAAAUGCGUAGAUAUCAGGAGGAACACCGGUGGCGAAGGCGGCCUGCUGGACUGCAACUGACGUUGAGGCCCGAAAGCGUGGGGAGCAAACAGGAUUAGAUACCCGGGUAGUC